rnacentral:tRNA from 1 species
AAAGGGAGACCUAAUUCAGGUAGGAGACGAAAAAAAAGUAGUCGCUACCAAGAAUCAAUCCCAAAAGGUCGGAGCGAGGCGAAAUUGGCUUUCAAACUAGGUUCUGGGUUCAAACAAGACCUGAAUCAGGAACAAGGGCUAUUAGCUCAGGUGGUUAGAGCGCACCCCUGAUAAGGGUGAGGUCCCUGGUUCGAGUCCAGGAUGGCCCACCUGCACAGGUGGCAAAAACAAGAGAAGCUCCGAAUCAGCACCUUAUCUUACUUAUAUAGUAAGAGAGAAUGCUGGCUCUGAGUUCAGAGUCCAGAGGAACCUUGAAAACUGCAUAGAGCUAGGUGAAAAAGCCAAAAAAGAAGACCGCAAG